rnacentral:tRNA from 1 species
GCCCGCUUAGUAUAGUGGUUAGUACGCUACGUUGUGGCCGUGGAGACCCGUGUUCGAUUCUCGGGGCGGGCA